AGCAAGGAAAUGGGAAUCGCGGCUUAAUCCGUUAGGUGUAGGCGCUUUCUAGAGGUGGAUGAUUUAUGCUCUUCGUAUUUGACCCGAAACCGAUUGAUCUAGCCAUGAGCAGGUUCAAGAGAGCUCUAACAGGCCUUGUAGGACUGAACCCACGUAUGCGGCAAAAUAUGGGGAUGACUUGUGGCUAGGGGUGAAAGGCCAACCAAGAUCAGAUAUAGUUGGUUUUCCGCGAAAUCUAUUUCAAUAGAGCGUAUGAUGCGAUGGCCCGAGGUUGACCACUCAAUGGAUAGGGUGGCCCCCAUUUUGUUUUACCAACCCCAAGGAAACUGAUAAUAUAGGUUUUCAUCCUUCGUAUAGACAGACUGAUUGGGUGCUAAGAUCUAAAGUCGAGAGGAAAACGACCCCGAUCGCACGUUAAGGUCCGUAAGCAAUCACUUAGUGGAAAAGGAAGUGAUCGAGCGNNNNNNNNNNNNNNNNNNNNNNNNAAGCAGCCAUCCUUUGAAGAAAGCAUAAUAACCCACUAGUCUCGCUCCAUGGCACCAAAAAUUUCUCAGGGCUCAAGUGACUCACCGAAGCGACAUAACCUUGAAGGCAGCCUUUUCAAGUGUGAGUAGCAGGAUAUUCUAUCAAUUGGGAAGGCUAAUGGUGACAAGACCUGGAGAUAUAAGAAGUGAGAAUGCU
rnacentral:ncRNA from 1 species